rnacentral:rRNA from 1 species
AACGAACGCUGGCGGCAUGCCUAACACAUGCAAGUCGAACGAUCCCUUCUGUGUUAGUGGCGCACGGGUGCGUAACGUGUUGGAACCUGCCCUUAUGUUCGGAAUAACUUAGAUAAAUUUGUGCUUAUACCGGAUAAUGUCUUCGGACCAAAGAUUUAUCGCCUUUGGAUGGGCCCGCGUUGGAUUAGCUAGUUGGUGGGGUAAAGGCCUACCAAGGCGACGAUCCAUAGCUGGUCUGAGAGGAUGAUCAGCCACACUGGGACUGAGACACGGCCCAGACACCUACGGGAGGCAGCAGUGGGGAAUAUUGGACAAUGGGCGAACACCUGAUCCAGCAAUGCCGCGUGAGUGAUGAAGGCCUUAGGGUUAAAAAACUCUUUUACCCGGGAUGAUAAUGACAGUACCGGGAGAAUAAGCCCCGGCUAACUCCGUG